rfam:Eremothecium cymbalariae DBVPG#7215 chromosome 4, complete sequence.
CUCUCGGUAGCCAAGUUGGUUUAAGGCGCCAGACUGUAAUUUGCAAGAUUUGUAAUCUGGAGAUCGGGUGUUCGACUCACCCCCGGGAGA